rnacentral:rRNA from 1 species
AUUACCCAAUACUGACACCGGGAGGUAGUGACAAGAAAUAACAAUACAGGGCAAUUGUCUUGUAAUUGGAAUGAUGGUGACGUAAAAUCUCACCAGAGUAACAAUUGGAGGGCAAGUCUGGUGCCAGCAGCCGCGGUAAUUCCAGCUCCAAUAGCGUAUAUUAAACUUGUUGCAGUUAAAAAGCUCGUAGUUGAAUUUCUGCGUUGCCCGACUCGGCUACUUGCCUUGUCUGGUUUCGCUUUUGGGGUUUUCCCCUUUUUACUUUGAGAAAAUUAGAGUGUUUCAAGCAGACUUGUGUCUUGAAUACUUCAGCAUGGAAUAAUAAAGUAGGACUUUGGUUCUAUUUUGUUGGUUUGUGAACCUUAGUAAUGGUUAAUAGGAACGGUUGGGGGCAUUCGUAUUUAA